rnacentral:lncRNA from 1 species
UCUUCUCCUUCUUCUUCUCCUUCUCCUCCUCCUCCUCCUCCUCCUCCUCCUUCUUCUUCUUCUUCUUAUUCUUAUUCUUCUUCUUAUUCUCAUUAUCCUUCUCCUCCUCCCCCCUCCUCCCUCUUCUUCUUCUUCUUCNNNNUCUUCUUCUUCUUCCUUUUCUUCUCCUUCUUCUUCUCCUCUUUCUUCGCGUCUUUCUUUUUGUCCUUAGCUUUUUUCCCCAAGAAAGACAUACUUA